rnacentral:rRNA from 1 species
CCCUUAGAUGUCCUGGGCUGCACGCGCGCUACACUGACGAACUCAACGAGCUUAUCACCUUGGCAGAGAUGUCUGGGUAAUCUUUUGAAAGUUCGUCGUGCUGGGGAUAGAUGAUUGUAAUUAUUCGUCUUGAACGAGGAAUUCCUAGUAAGUGUGAGUCAUCAGCUCGCGCUGAUUACGUCCCUGCCCUUUGUACACACCGCCCGUCGCUCCUACCGAUUGAAUGGUCCGGUGAGGUUCUCGGAUUUUUUCUGUUGUUUGGUUCGCUAAACGAUUGAAGAGGGAAGUUACCCAAACCUUACCAUUUAGAGGAAGGAGAAGUCGUAACA